rnacentral:rRNA from 1 species
CCUACGGGUGGCAGCAGUGAGGAAUAUUGGUCAAUGGGCGGAAGCCUGAACCAGCCAAGUAGCGUGCGGGAUGAAGGCCCUACGGGUCGUAAACCGCUUUUGCAUGGGGAUAACACCCUCCAUUUGUGGUGGUCUGCAGGUACCGUGCGAAUAAGGGCCGGCUAAUUCCGUGCCAGCAGCCGCGGUAAUACGGAGGGCCCGAGCGUUAUCCGGAUUCAUUGGGCUUAAAGGAAGCGUAGGCGGGCGUUCAAGUCAGCUGUAAAAUUGCGCGGCUCAACCGCGCACCGAAGUUGAAACUGGGCGCCUUGAGUACACAACAGGCAGGCGGAAUUCGUGGUGUAGCGGUGAAAUGCAUAGAUAUCACGAGGAACCCCGAUUGCGAAGGCAGCCUGCUGGGGUGCGACUGACGCUGAGGCUCGAAGGUGCGGGUAUCAAACAGGAUUAGAUACCCCAGUAGUC